UUCCACAGAUACUGGUCUGGAAUUGCUUGAUCGGUAGUAGUUUCAGCAUUCCUCCUGUGGGAAAGUAAACUUUGGCACUGCCUUCAAUGAGCCUUUUUCUGAUGUUUUUAAAAGGUUAAGCAGUGUUAUUAACAUAA